rnacentral:ncRNA from 1 species
UCCAAGAAUUUUCAAGCAUGCGAUGUUUUAAGUCUUGACAUGAUUCAAGAAAUAACGUAUAGAUUUAAGGAGGGCACUCUGGAGCAACCUUUCGAACUGCUGCUGAAUCCAUGGGCAGGCAAGAGAGAACCAGGCGAACUGAAAGAUCUUAGUAGCCAGAGGAAAAGAUAGCAAAAGUGAUUCCCGUAGUAGCGGCGGGCGAAAUGGGAGCUGCCUAAACCGUGAAAACGGGGUUGUGGGAGAGCAAUACAAGCGUCGUGCAGCUAGGCGAAGCAGUACGAAUGUUGCACCCUAGAUGGCGAAAAAUCUAACGGCUUUCCUUGAAAAAACUAAUAAAAAUGAUAGGUUGAAAUCUUGACCGCUUUAUCACUAAUUUAAGACAACA